rnacentral:rRNA from 1 species
AGUCGAGCGAGUCUGCCUUGAAGAUCGGAGUGCUUGCACUCUGUGAAACAAGUAUACAGGCUAGCGGCGGACNNGUGAGUAACACGUGGGUAACCUGCCCAAGAGAUCGGGAUAACACCUGGAAACAGAUGCUAAUACCGGAUAACAACAGAUGAUGCCUAUCAACUGUUUAAAAGAUGGUUCUGCUAUCACUCUUGGAUGGACCUGCGGUGCAUUAGCUAGUUGGUAGGGUAACGGCCUACCAAGGCGAUGAUGCAUAGCCGAGUUGAGAGACUGAUCGGCCACAUUGGGACUGAGACACGGCCCAAACUCCUACGGGAGGCAGCAGUAGGGAAUCUUCCACAAUGGACGCAAGUCUGAUGGAGCAACGCCGCGUGAGUGAAGAAGGGUUUCGGCUCGUAAAGCUCUGUUGUUGGUGAAGAAGGACGGGGGUAGUAACUGACCUUUGUUUGACGGUAAUCAAUUAGAAAGUCACGGCUAACUACGUGCCAGCAGCCGCGGUAAUACGUAGGUGGCAAGCGUUGUCCGGAUUUAUUGGGCGUAAAGCGAGUGCAGGCGGUUCGAUAAGUCUGAUGUGAAAGCCUUCGGCUCAACCGGAGAAUUGCAUCAGAAACUGUCGAGCUUGAGUACAGAAGAGGAGAGUGGAACUCCAUGUGUAGCGGUGAAAUGCGUAGAUAUAUGGAAGAACACCGGUGGCGAAAGCGGCUCUCUGGUCUGUUNNCGACGCUGAGGCUCGAAAGCAUGGGUAG